CAGAGUAGGCUUGAGUGCGUUAAGUUCCGCCCGAACGGGGAGUUGUCGGGCGGCCGAAAGAUCUUCUGCGGUGCUCAAGCCGCAUCCCGCUG
rnacentral:ncRNA from 1 species